UUUGGCUUUUAAUAUCUGGAUGGUUAGUUAGACAUCUCAAUGACUCUUCAAGGUUCCUUCUUUGAGCACUUUCUUCAGUUUGGAGGUCUUGGAGGUUUCUCCAAAAAAGUCUCGUCUAACUUUUAAUAUUAUUUGGAUUUAAACUUUUUUAACGAUUUGGAAGGACCAUAAUAUGAUACAUUUUUACAAUAAAUCAGAACAACUUCUAUCUUUAUUGGAAAAGGUAAAACACCAAGCAUUUUGGUGGUUUAAAUCUUAUUAUGCUGUUUUUGAUUGAGUAUUUGAUUUGAAGGUUAAAUCCUUUAUUAUGUUUUCAGGAUGUAACGUAAUUUUAUUUUUCUUGGCUACUUUGUCGUAACAUGUGGAUUGUCUCAUUGCAAUUUUUAGAUACUUUAACUUUCUUUGAUAUACCUUGUAUUAGAAGAGCUUGUGUUAGUUUUUAAGUAUAAUUUGUUAAGCUAGUUCAAAAAAGCUUUGUUAUAUUUUUUUUUUGUAUGCAAAGAAGCUCAAGGUAUUUUAUACUAAUGGAGGAAAUGCAAUCAAGAAUGUUAAUCAAAUCUGAUAAUCACUUUCAGCUCUAGAAUAGUUUAGGAAUUAAGACAAAUAUAGGAGAUUAUUGUUGCGUAUCUUAUAGAAUUAUUAAUAUUACCCAUCAAUUAAAUUCUCAAUUGUAAAUUAUCAAGAACAAUACACACACUAUUAUAAGAAAAAAACAAUUUUU
rnacentral:lncRNA from 1 species